UAGGGAAUCUUCCACAAUGGACGCAAGUCUGAUGGAGCAACGCCGCGUGAGUGAAGAAGGUUUUCGGACCGUAAAGCUCUGUUGUUGGUGAAGAAGGAUAGAGGUAGUAACUGGCCUUUAUUUGACGGUAAUCACCAGAAAGUCACGGCUAACUACGUGCCAGCAGCCGCGGUAAUACGUAGGUGGCAAGCGUUGUCCGGAUUUAUUGGGCGUAAAGCGAGCGCAGGCGGAAGAAUAAGUCUGAUGUGAAAGCCCUCGGCUUAACCGAGGAAUUGCAUCGGAAACUGUUUUCUUGAGUGCAGAAGAGGAGAGUAGAACUCCAUGUGUAGCGGUGGAAUGCGUAGAUAUAUGGAAGAAUACCAGUGGCGAAGGCGGCUCUCUGGUCUGCAACUGACGCUGAGGCUCGAAAGCAUGGGUAGCGAACAGGAUUAGAUACCCUGGUAGUCCAUGCCGUAAACGAUGAGUGCUAAGUGUUGGGAGGCUUCCGCCUCUCAGUGCUGCAGCUAACGCAUUAAGCACUCCGCCUGGGGGAGUACGACCGCAAGGUUGAAAC
rnacentral:rRNA from 1 species